GGAAACAGGUUAAUAUUCCUGUACUUGGUGUUACUGCGAAGGGGGGACGGAGAAGGCUAUGUUAGCCGGGCGACGGUUGUCCCGGUUUAAGCAUGUAGGCGGAGGUUCCAGGUAAAUCCGGUACCUUUUAACGCUGAGGUGUGAUGACGAGGCACUACGGUGCUGAAGUAACAAAUGCCCUGCUUCCAGGAAAAGCCUCUAAGCAUCAGGUAACAUUGAAUCGUACCCCAAACCGACACAGGUGGUCAGGUAGAGAAUACCAAGGCGCUUGAGAGAACUCGGGUGAAGGAACUAGGCAAAAUGGUGCCGUAACUUCGGGAGAAGGCACGCUGAUAUGUAGGUGAA
rnacentral:rRNA from 1 species